rnacentral:rRNA from 1 species
GUGAGGUAACGGCUCACCAAGGCAACGAUGCGUAGCCGACCUGAGAGGGUGAUCGGCCACACUGGGACUGAGACACGGCCCAGACUCCUACGGGAGGCAGCAGUAGGGAAUCUUCCGCAAUGGACGAAAGUCUGACGGAGCAACGCCGCGUGAGUGAUGAAGGUUUUCGGAUCGUAAAGCUCUGUUGUUAGGGAAGAACAAGUACCGUUCGAAUAGGGCGGUACCUUGACGGUACCUAACCAGAAAGCCACGGCUAACUACGUGCCAGCAGCCGCGGUAAUACGUAGGUGGCAAGCGUUGUCCGGAAUUAUUGGGCGUAAAGGGCUCGCAGGCGGUUUCUUAAGUCUGAUGUGAAAGCCCCCGGCUCAACCGGGGAGGGUCAUUGGAAACUGGGGAACUUGAGUGCAGAAGAGGAGAGUGGAAUUCCACGUGUAGCGGUGAAAUGCGUAGAGAUGUGGAGGAACACCAGUGGCGAAGGCGACUUUCUGGUCUGUAACUGACGCUGAGGAGCGAAAGCGUGGGGAGCGAACAGG